UCGCGGCCUAUCAGCUUGUUGGUGAGGUAAUGGCUCACCAAGGCGACGACGGGUAGCCGGCCUGAGAGGGUGACCGGCCACACUGGGACUGAGACACGGCCCAGACUCCUACGGGAGGCAGCAGUGGGGAAUAUUGCACAAUGGGCGAAAGCCUGAUGCAGCGACGCCGCGUGAGGGAUGACGGCCUUCGGGUUGUAAACCUCUUUCAGUAGGGAAGAAGCGAAAGUGACGGUACAUGCAGAAGAAGCGCCGGCUAACUACGUGCCAGCAGCCGCGGUAAUACGUAGGGCGCAAGCGUUAUCCGGAAUUAUUGGGCGUAAAGAGCUCGUAGGCGGUUUGUCGCGUCUAUCGUGAAAGUCCGAGGCUCAACCUCGGAUCUGCGGUGGGUACGGGCAGACUAGAGUGAUGUAGGGGAGACUGGAAUUCCUGGUGUAGCGGUGAAAUGCGCAGAUAUCAGGAGGAACACCGAUGGCGAAGGCAGGUCUCUGGGCAUUAACUGACGCUGAGGAGCGAAAGCAUGGGGAGCGAACAGGAUUAGAUACCCUGGUAGUCCAUGCCGUAAACGUUGGGCACUAGGUGUGGGGGACAUUCCACGUUUUCCGCGCCGUAGCUAACGCAUUAAGUGCCCCGCCUGGGGAGUACGGCCGCAAGGCUAAAACUCAAAGGAAUUGACGGGGGCCCGCACAAGCGGCGGAGCAUGCGGAUUAAUUCGAUGCAACGCGAAGAACCUUACCAAGGCUUGACAUGUGCCAGACCGCCGUGGAACACGGUUUCCCCUUUGGGGCUGGUUCACAGGUGGUGCAUGGUUGUCGUCAGCUCGUGUCGUGAGAUGUUGGGCUAAGUCCCGCAACGAGCGCAACCCUCGUUCUAUGUUGCCAGCACGUGAUGGUGGGGACUCAUAGGAGACUGCCGGGGUCAACUCGGAGGAAGGUGGGGACGACGUCAAAUCAUCAUGCCCCUUAUGUCUUGGGCUUCACGCAUGCUACAAUGGCCGGUACAAUGGGUUGCGAUAC
rnacentral:rRNA from 1 species